rnacentral:rRNA from 1 species
GUGAGGAAUAUUGGUCAAUGGGCGAGAGCCUGAACCAGCCAAGUAGCGUGAAGGAUGAAGGUCCUACGGAUUGUAAACUUCUUUUAUACGGGAAUAAAGUUUCCUACGUGUAGGAUUUUGUAUGUACCGUAUGAAUAAGCAUCGGCUAACUCCGUGCCAGCAGCCGCGGUAAUACGGAGGAUCCGAGCGUUAUCCGGAUUUAUUGGGUUUAAAGGGAGCGCAGACGGGUCGUUAAGUCAGCUGUGAAAGUUUGGGGCUCAACCUUAAAAUUGCAGUUGAUACUGGCGUCAUUGAGUGCGGUUGAGGUGUGCGGAAUUCGUGGUGUAGCGGUGAAAUGCUUAGAUAUCACGAAGAACUCCGAUUGCGAAGGCAGCACACUAAUCCGUAACUGACGUUCAUGCUCGAAAGUGUGGGUAUCAAACAGGAUUAGAUACCCUAGUAGUCC